UACAGAGGGUGCAAGCGUUAAUCGGAAUUACUGGGCGUAAAGCGCGCGUAGGUGGUUUGUUAAGUUGAAUGUGAAAUCCCCGGGCUCAACCUGGGAACUGCAUGCAAAACUGGCAAGCUAGAGUAUGGUAGAGGGUGGUGGAAUUUCCUGUGUAGCGGUGAAAUGCGUAGAUAUAGGAAGGGACACCAGUGGCGAAGGCGACCACCUGGACUGAUACUGACACUGAGGUGCGAAAGCGUGGGGAGCAAACAGG
rnacentral:rRNA from 1 species